CUACGGGGUGCUCCAGUGAGGAAUAUUGCACAAUGGGGGGAACCCUGAUGCAGCAACGCCGCGUGGAGGAUGACGCAUUUCGGUGUGUAAACUCCUUUUAUAUGUCAAGAAAAUGACGGUAGCAUAUGAAUAAGCACCGGCUAACUCCGUGCCAGCAGCCGCGGUAAUACGGAGGGUGCAAGCGUUACUCGGAAUCACUGGGCGUAAAGGACGCGUAGGCGGGUUGGAAAGGCAGGUGUGAAAUCCUACAGCUUAACUGUAGAACUGCACUUGAAACUUCUAAUCUAGAGUAUGGGAGGGGGAGAUGGAAUUAGUGGUGUAGGGGUAAAGUCCGUAGAUAUCACUAGGAAUACCUAAAGCGAAGGCGAUCUCCUGGAACAUUACUGACGCUAAGGCGUGAAAGCGUGGGGAGCAAACAGGAUUAGAUACCCCUCGUAGUC
rnacentral:rRNA from 1 species